GAAUGCUGACUAUUUGACAAACCAGAGAAAUGCACCUUUGACUGCAAGACUGUUAAAUUCCUGGCCCAGCUAUCUUCCCGGAAGGACUUCAAAUGGACCUUUACAAGUUAUCUACAAUGAUAGACUAAGAACAACCUACCAAGGAAAUGUUAAUGAAAACUAGUACUGAGACUGCUGAAGUUUUCAUUGGAAACAACAGAAUUCUUUGAUUUACCAUCUUCCCCUGUAAUGGAACAGAUAUUUUUGGUGAUAGUUGACCACCAUUUAGAGAUGGACAUAGGUAAGUUGUAUAUAUUUUUUGAAGAAUAGGCCAAAUUAUGUGGCUUUAGAAGCAUUUAUCCUUCAUCUUUCAAAAGGUUAAAAAUUUUAAAGUUAGACUUAUACUUUGGUAGAAGCAAAUGUUAAAUUAUUGAUAUUUUGUUAGAAGUACUUGAGAAGAUAUGAUAUUGUUUGUGGUAUAUAAAGUGUACCUCACAGCUAAACACUUUGUGUAGGAGAAUUGGGCAGAGGAAGAGUACUGGAAAAUUAUUUUAAAAUGUUUUCAAAACAUUCUGAUCAGAAAUAAAAAUGUUCUGGGAUAUUAACCA
rnacentral:lncRNA from 1 species